CUCGCGCUUGCGGCGGGACGCUCGCGACGAAGUGGUUGCCGCCGCUGACACUGGAAGAUUAGCCCGAGCGGCACUUUCACUACGCGCCGGUAAUUUAGUGCAGGUUUUGGAGAUACAAGCUUUUAGACCAACGGCGGCGAUUGCAGGUGCAUGAACAUAUGGACGUACUAACCCUGAGCCAAUCUAUCAGCAGUCUCCCCAUGAGCAAGCCAACAUGGCCCAAAGGCAAGGACCCAAAACUCCAAUGAUGAAAAAAUAUAUAGAAAAAACAUAGGGAGAAACCAGUCUCAUCCUGGAGGGCCAUGUCUUCUCUGACAUGUUACAGCUGCACUACAGCUGUAAAAUAACUGUUAAAAUAAAUAAAGUAAAUCAAUGGUAUUGACAGGCAUGGAUAAGACAAUGAUAUUCUCCUAUGUUUGAUUUCUCAGUGAAAGGCUGUUUGUAUCUGUGAUUCAGGUUGAUUUAUUGUUCUGAGUUUCUCAACGUUUUCUCAUGGAUGAUAGAAGUGGUGUUGAGUGUCCCAUUCCCAGGCUGUUGUAGGGUGAUUACUGUCUUUCUGAACAAUAACGUGGGAACCCGCUCUGAAAUCUAUCAGAUAAUGACCCAUCUCUGUUAGAAGAGAAAUUGCCGAGGAGUUUGCCUGCUCUUUGCAAAUCUUUCUAAUUUCAGGUCCUCUUGCCUCCACUCUCCUCCUCUCUCUCUCUCUUCUCCUCUCGUCU